rnacentral:rRNA from 1 species
UACACUCCUACGGGAGGCAGCAGUGGGGAAUAUUGGACAAUGGGCGCAAGCCUGAUCCAGCCAUGCCGCGUGAGUGAUGAAGGCCCUAGGGUUGUAAAGCUCUUUCACCGGUGAAGAUAAUGACGGUAACCGGAGAAGAAGCCCCGGCUAACUUCGUGCCAGCAGCCGCGGUAAUACGAAGGGGGCUAGCGUUGUUCGGAUUUACUGGGCGUAAAGCGCACGUAGGCGGACUAUUAAGUCAGGGGUGAAAUCCCGGGGCUCAACCCCGGAACUGCCUUUGAUACUGGUAGUCUUGAGUUCGAGAGAGGUGAGUGGAAUUCCGAGUGUAGAGGUGAAAUUCGUAGAUAUUCGGAGGAACACCAGUGGCGAAGGCGGCUCACUGGCUCGAUACUGACGCUGAGGUGCGAAAGCGUGGGGAGCAAACAGGAUUAGAAACCCGGGUAGUCCC